GCCCGCAUAGCUCAGCCGGUAGAGCGCCUCCAUGGUAAGGAGGAGGUCCCCAGUUCGAGUCUGGGUGCGGGCU
rnacentral:tRNA from 1 species